rnacentral:rRNA from 1 species
GAUGAACGCUAGCGACAGGCUUAACACAUGCAAGUCGAGUGGCAGCGGGGGUAGCAAUACCCGCCGGCGACCGGCGCACGGGUGAGUAACGCGUAUGCAACUUACCUAUCAGAGGGGGAUAACCCGGCGAAAGUCGGACUAAUACCGCAUGAAGCAGGGGCCCCGCAUGGGGAUAUUUGCUAAAGAUUCAUCGCUGAUAGAUAGGCAUGCGUUCCAUUAGGCAGUUGGCGGGGUAACGGCCCACCAAACCGACGAUGGAUAGGGGUUCUGAGAGGAAGGUCCCCCACAUUGGUACUGAGACACGGACCAAACUCCUACGGGAGGCAGCAGUGAGGAAUAUUGGUCAAUGGCCGAGAGGCUGAACCAGCCAAGUCGCGUGAGGGAUGAAGGUUCUAUGGAUCGUAAACCUCUUUUAUAAGGGAAUAAAGUGCGGGACGUGUCCCGUUUUGUAUGUACCUUAUGAAUAAGGAUCGGCUAACUCCGUGCCAGCAGCCGCGGUAAUACGGAGGAUCCGAGCGUUAUCCGGAUUUAUUGGGUUUAAAGGGUGCGUAGGCGGCCUUUUAAGUCAGCGGUGAAAGUCUGUGGCUCAACCAUAGAAUUGCCGUUGAAACUGGGGGGCUUGAGUAUGUUUGAGGCAGGCGGAAUGCGUGGUGUAGCGGUGAAAUGCAUAGAUAUCACGCAGAACCCCGAUUGCGAAGGCAGCCUGCCAAGCCAUUACUGACGCUGAUGCACGAAAGCGUGGGGAUCAAACAGGAUUAGAAUACCCCUGGUAGUCCACGCAGUAAACGAUGAUCACUAGCUGUUUGCGAUACACUGUAAGCGGCACAGCGAAAGCGUUAAGUGAUCCACCUGGGGAGUACGCCGGCAACGGUGAAACUCAAAGGAAUUGACGGGGGCCCGCACAAGCGGAGGAACAUGUGGUUUAAUUCGAUGAUACGCGAGGAACCUUACCCGGGCUUGAACGCAUUCGGACCGAGGUGGAAACACCUUUUCUAGCAAUAGCCGUUUGCGAGGUGCUGCAUGGUUGUCGUCAGCUCGUGCCGUGAGGUGUCGGCUUAAGUGCCAUAACGAGCGCAACCCUUGCCACUAGUUACUAACAGGUAAAGCUGAGGACUCUGGUGUGACUGUCAGCGUAAGCUGCGAGGAAGGCGGGGAUGACGUCAAAUCAGCACGGCCCUUACAUCCGGGGCGACACACGUGUUACAAUGGCGUGGACAAAGGGAGGCCACCUGGCGACAGGGAGCGAAUCCCCAAACCACGUCUCAGUUCGGAUCGGAGUCUGCAACCCGACUCCGUGAAGCUGGAUUCGCUAGUAAUCGCGAAUCAGCCAUGGCGCGGUGAAUACGUUCCCGGGCCUUGUACACACCGCCCGUCAAGCCAUGGGAGCCGGGGGUCCCAAAAGUCCGUAACCGAAAGGAUCGGCCUAGGGUAAAACCG